rnacentral:rRNA from 1 species
CCCUUAGAUGUUCUGGGCCGCACGCGCGCUACACUGAUGCAUUCAACGAGUUUCUUCCUGGUCCGAGAGGAAUGGGUAACCUUUUGAAAGUGCAUCGUGAUAGGGAUAGACUAUUGCAAUUAUUGGUCUUCAACGAGGAAUUCCUAGUAGACGUAGUUCAUCAGACUGCAUCGAUUACGUCCCUGCCCUUUGUACACACCGCCCGUCGCUCCUACCGAUUGAAUGCUCAGGUGAGCCAUUCGGACUUUCAUCAUGCUGGUUUCCAGUUUUGAAGAAGGAAAGUCUUGCGAACCUUAUCAUUUAGAGGAAGGAGAAGUCGUAACA